UCCGAGUUGACCCCGGCAGUCUCCCAUGAGUCCCCGGCAUUACCCGCUGGCAACAUGGAACGAGGGUUGCGCUCGUUGCGGGACUUAACCCAACAUCUCACGACACGAGCUGACGACAGCCAUGCAGCACCUGUCUAGGGGUCCCGAAGGAGGGACUCGGUUUCUCGAGUCUUUCCCCUAGAUGUCAAGCCCAGGUAAGGUUCUUCGCGUUGCGUCGAAUUAAACCACAUGCUCCACCGCUUGUGCGGGCCCCCGUCAAUUUCUUUGAGUUUUAACCUUGCGGCCGUACUCCCCAGGCGGAUGACUUAAUGCGUUAGCUGCGCCACCGAAAGCCUAAGGCCCCCGACAGCUAGUCAUCAUCGUUUACGGCGUGGACUAC
rnacentral:misc_RNA from 1 species